UACGGGGGGGGCAAGCGUUGUUCGGAAUUACUGGGCGUAAAGGGCUCGUAGGCGGCCAACUAAGUCAGACGUGAAAUCCCCAGGCUCAACCUGGGAACUGCGUCUGAUACUGGCAGGCUUGAAUCCGGGAGAGGGAUGCGGAAUUCCAGGUGUAGCGGUGAAAUGCUUAGAUAUGACAUAGAAUACCUAUUGCGAAGGCAGCUUACUACACAGAUAUUGACGCUCAUGCACGAAAGCGUGGGGAUCAAACAGG
rnacentral:rRNA from 1 species